rnacentral:rRNA from 1 species
UCCUUCCGUAGGUGAACCUGCGGAAGG